rnacentral:RNase_P_RNA from 1 species
GGAGUCGGCCGGACAGUCGCCGCGCGUCAGUUUCGUAAGAGGCUGCGCGGGGAGGAAAGUCCGGGCUCCGGUGGACAGGGUGCCAGGUAACGCCUGGGCGGCGUAAGCCGACGGAAAGUGCAACAGAAAGAUACCGCCGGCGCUCGCAAGAGCGCGGGUAAGGGUGAAAUGGUGCGGUAAGAGCGCACCGCGCCGGUGGCAACAUUCGGCGGCACGGCAAACCCCACCCGGAGCAAGGCCAAAUAGGGAAGUCGUGGCUCGCAAGAGCUACAGCGCGUGUCCCCGCGUGCUUCCGGGUAGGCCGCUCGAGGUUGUCGGUGACGGCAAUCCUAGAGGAAUGACUGUUCAAGACAGAACCCGGCUUACAGGUCGGCUCCUGAC